AUGGGUGGCGCGCGUCGGGGGCUCAUGCUGCUCCUCGUCCUCGUCGUGCUGCUCCAGGCGCAGGCAUGGGCCGGCGCCGCUCCGCUCAACGGCGAAGGAUUGGCUCUGCUGGAGCUGAGGGCGAGGGUGGAGGGAGAUCCCCAUGGAGUCUUCCAUGACUGGGAUCCCAUGGACAACAAUCCCUGCAGCUGGUCCGGCGUCCAAUGCUCUGACGGCAAUGUGGAGAUUCUGAAUUUAACAGGUCAUGAACUGGCUGGAACCCUCGCACCUGAGAUUGGAAGCCUACAAUGUCUAAGAUCACUUUUACUUCCAAAGAACAAUUUCCAUGGGCAAAUCCCCAGAGAGUUUGGAGGGUUAUCUGCCCUUGAAGUACUGGAUUUGAGUGCCAACAACUUGGAUGGAACAAUUCCAAAAGAACUAGGGACGAUGCCACUACUCAAACAGCUAUCACUUCACAAUAAUCAGUUCCAAGAAGGCGUCUCAUCUUUCAACAUACAAGGUGGAGCUGCUGAGCAGACAUGCUGCUUGAGCAGAAAACUAGGUUGCUGGCUGGGGUCUAAGAAUUGGAUUUCUUUCAACGUCCUCCGUGGGAAAUAUUGCAACAAUCUACCAAGUUUUACCGAGUCACACAUAAUGCAGAAUUUGCAGUCCAUAGCAAGUGCGAUGCGCCGCAGGCUGCUUGAAGCUGGCAAUCUGCCUGCUCUUUCAGGGAAUAAUGACCUGGAAAAUUCAACAGGAAUCCAGAGACCUGCUGAUGUUCUAUCUCUAGGGACUGGUUCAUUUCCUGCGUUCCCAAAGUCGGAUGGCCAAAUCCUGAUGCCUUCGGUUCCAGAAUCCGUUGAGAAUGUUGAUGCUGCAACACCAAAGCAGGUGCCUGCCGCAGUGACCCAAUCAGACGACAAAGAGUCAUCUGGUGCGAAGUAUGGCAUUUGGACUUAUGUCCUCAUAUUUCUAGCUGCAAUACUGCUCAUUAGCCUGAUUAUUGCGCCGAUCUUGGUCUGUCGGAAGCGAGGGGAUGGAUCAAUAGCCCCCUGGAAAGCAGGGCUAAGCGGCCAACUUCGGAAGGCAUUUGUAACAGGUGUUCCACAGCUAAACAGACUAGAACUCGAGGCCGCUUGCGAGGAUUUCAGCAACAUUCUCAACGCUCUGCCUUUCUGUACCGUGUUCAAGGGGACAUUAUCCAGUGGAGUCGAGAUCUGUGUUGUCUCCACUUCCAUUUCAUCGGUCAAGGAGUGGUCCAAGAGUUCAGAAACGUUCUUCAGAAAAAAGAUAGAUACAGUGUCAAGAGUCAACCACAAGAACUUUGUCAAUCUCCUCGGAUAUUGCAUAGAAAACAAACCCUUCAUGAGGAUGAUGGUGUACGAGUAUGCUCCGAAUGGAACUCUUUCUGAGCAUCUUCAUCUCAAGGUGUUUGAGGAUCUCGACUGGGCUGCGAGGAUGAGGAUCAUCAUGGGCCUGGCGUACUGCCUCCAGUACAUGCACCAUGAGCUCAAUCCGCCUGUGGCGAUAAACGAUAUACGCUCCGACGCAAUCUUUAUGACAGAUGACUAUGCUGCUAAGAUUGCCGAUGUUGGCAUGUGGAAAGAACUCGCGGACAGAGCAAAGGCUGCAAAGCAGGACGGCAGCAGCCGCUCUGAACCUCCUCCCGAUCUCGCGGGCAGCGUCUUCUGCUUCGGCAUGCUUCUGCUGGAGAUCAUAUCCGGAAAGCUUCCUGAACCAGGUGGCCAUGAACUGACCUGCAUCUGGGCUGCCAAGCAUCUCAAAGCCAAGAACUAUGUCGAGCUCGUCGACACUGUGCUCGAGGAACACAAGGCCAACGAGCUGGAGGCCGUCUGCGAGGUGAUCGAGGAGUGCACCGACCCCGACCCGACGCGGCGGCCAGCAAUGCGAGACGUGACGGGAAAGCUCAGGGAGGUUCUUGGCGUCUCGCCGGAGGCGGCGGCGCCGCGGCUCUCGCCCCUCUGGUGGGCUGAGCUCGAGUUACUGUCCAUAAAGUCGACCUAG
rnacentral:rRNA from 1 species